rnacentral:tRNA from 1 species
UCCCAGGUAGCUCAGCUGGUAAAGAAUCUGCCUGCAAUGCAGGAGACCCAGGUUCGAUUCCUGGGUUGGGAA